rnacentral:rRNA from 1 species
AUUGAACGCUGGCGGCAUGCUUUACACAUGCAAGUCGAACGGCAGCGCGGGCUUCGGCCUGGCGGCGAGUGGCGAACGGGUGAGUAAUGCAUCGGAACGUGCCCAGUAGUGGGGGAUAGCCCGGCGAAAGCCGGAUUAAUACCGCAUACGACCUGAGGGUGAAAGCGGGGGAGCGAAAGGCCUCGCGCUAUUGGAGCGGCCGAUGUCGGAUUAGCUAGUUGGUGGGGUAAAGGCUUACCAAGGCGACGAUCCGUAGCUGGUCUGAGAGGACGACCAGCCACACUGGGACUGAGACACGGCCCAGACUCCUACGGGAGGCAGCAGUGGGGAAUUUUGGACAAAGGGGGCAACCCUGAUCCAGCCAUGCCGCGUGCGGGAAGAAGGCCUUCGGGUUGUAAACCGCUUUUGUUCGGGAAGAAAUCCUCUGGGCUAAUACCCCGGGGGGAUGACGGUACCGGAAGAAUAAGCACCGGCUAACUACGUG